CCUACGGGCGGCAGCAGUGAGGAAUAUUGGUCAAUGGGCGCUAGCCUGAACCAGCCAAGUAGCGUGAAGGAUGACUGCCCUAUGGGUUGUAAACUUCUUUUAUAUAGGAAUAAAGUGAGGCAUGUAUACUGCUUUGCAUGUACUUUAUGAAUAAGGAUCGGCUAACUCCGUGCCAGCAGCCGCGGUAAUACGGAGGAUCCGAGCGUUAUCCGGCUUUAUUGGGUUUAAAGGGAGCGUAGGUGGGUUGUUAAGUCAGUUGUGAAAGUUUGCGGCUCAACCGUAAAAUUGCAAUUGAUACUGGCAUCCUUGAGUACAGUAGAGGUAGGCGGAAUUCGUGGUGUAGCGGUGAAAUGCUUAGAUAUCACGAAGAACUCCGAUUGCGAAGGCAGCUUGCUAAACUGUAACUGACGCUGAUGCUCGAAAGUGUGGGUAUCAAACAGGAUUAGAUACCCUUGUAGUC
rnacentral:rRNA from 1 species